GAUGAACGCUGGCGGCGUGCUUAACACAUGCAAGUCGAACGGGAAAUAUUUCAUUUAGACUUCGGUGGAUUUGCUUUAUUUCUAGUGGCGACCGGUUGAUUACCGCGUGGUUAACCUGCCUUAUACUGGGGGAUAACAAUCAGAAAUGGGUGCUAAUACUGCAUAAGCGCACUGAGCUGCAAGGCUCAGUUUUACAAACUCCGGUGGUUUAAUCCGGACCCGAAUUGGAUUAGCUGGCUGGGGGGGUAAACGCACACCAAGGCGCCUAUCCAUAGCCGGCCUGUGAGAGUGGACCGCGACAUUGAGACGGGGCCGCAGCCGAGACUCCUACGGGAGGCAGCAGUGGGGGAUAGUGCACAAUGGCGGAAGCCAUGAUGGAGCGACGCCGCGUGAAGGAAGAAGUAUCUCGGUAUGUAAACUUCUAUCAGCAGGGAAGAUAGUGACGGUACCUAACUAAGAAGCCCCGGCUAACUACGUG
rnacentral:rRNA from 1 species